UGGCUGGCGGAAGGCCUGCAGCGAGCGCCGGGAGUUACCCGCUGCGCUACGGUUCGGGCUGUCGCUGUCCUCGGAGUAGGGGAUGGUGCUGUGUUAUCCAGCUGGGAACUAUAAACUUGAGGUCGAAUGCACAGUGUGUGGGGAGAGCGGGAACGGAGGGAGGAAAGGCUGUGCGGCGCAGCGUGCAACAACUGAGAAAAACUUUCCUCAAAGUGAAAUAAAAUAAUGUCAGCAUGAAAAAUCUACUGAAAAAGACAUGGUUUGAGUUUGCACUCUAGAUACCCUGCAGGGUAAUACUUGUCUUACAAGAACUGAAUUCACAUGUCUCCAUGAAACCUGUUGAAAGAAGCUAUGUUGUGAGGAUAUUUUUAUGUGGAGC